rnacentral:sRNA from 1 species
UCCUAAACCCGACUGCAGCGGCAGCCCCUGAUUCUUUACCGAUGAAUCGGCACUAAAAUAGCAUCAGGGCUAAAGCAAAAGGCGGCAAUGCUA